ACCAUGAACUUUGGGGAAUAAGGAUAAAUUUCCUUAGUUUAUUCAAUCAUUACAACCAUGAUUUUACUAAUAUUAACCAUCCUCUCUCCUUUACCCCUCACAAAGGAGAAAAGGGUUACCACAAGUAAAAGAGGACACUAAAGUAUCUUCACAUUGAGAGAAAAUGUAACUAUCAGGAGGAGGAGACCAAGAGAAGAGGAAGGGAAACGAGUGAAGGUGUUAUUUCAGCUGUAUAGAUGAGAGAAUUUGGCAUGAACUGAAGUGGUGUAUAUGGACACUGAGCGAAGUUUGUGAAAACAAAACAUAUUUUAAAAUAGAACUGUCAAGACUUAUUCAAGCACUGAUGUGAGAGCUAAUAACAGAAGCUUACAAAUGAAGAGAUGGGAAUAAAAUGCAGAGAUCCUGUAAAAAGAGGAUGGGACCAGUCCUCUAUCAAAAUGAGGAAAAACAAACAAAAAGAAAAAAGGAAGCAAGUGUGGGAAAAGAUAACAGAAGGACAGAAAAAUCAAAGGGGGUUAAUGAAAGAAAAUUUUGGUGGAAAAUGGGGGGAGAACAAACAAGAUGGAGAGUUGGAGGAAUAUGGAGUUAUAUUUUUAAAAACUGCACUCCCCACCCCACAGUACUGGGGACUAAAUUCAGCUGUGUUCUACCACUGAACUACCCAUCCAGUCCUUUUUAUUUUGGACAGGUUCUCACUAAGUUGAAGGUUGGCCUCAAACUUGCAAUCCUGCCUCAGCCUCCCAAAUUGCUGGGAUAACAGGCAUGUGACACAUGCCCAGCUAAAGGAUAAUAUCUUUUAAAUUGCAUGGUGAUACAUGUUUAUUGAGGAGAAUUGAAAACUUAAAUCACCUAUAGUUCUACUAUUCAAAGUAAAUAAUGCUGAACAACUUUCCACGUAUAGUAUAGGACAUUUUAAAAACAAAAUUGUUUUAACCUCUAAUGUUCUUCUGUGCUUUGUUGUUUUUUAUAGGCCAACUUUUCCUUUUUAAACACAUUUUUCUUUUCCUUUGUUAUUAUCUGAUGAAGAUAUUAUAUAGCACUCACAAUGCGGAUUAAGUCUGACUCUGCAAAUUCAAUCCAGAUUAUUAUCUUCCCUCCAGAAAAAAAAAAGGGAGAAAGCAAAAAUACAUAAGUCUAUAGGUCAGACUUCACCUGUAUGUGGAAACUUUGUGAAUAAAGAUCACUGUAUUAUCUUUAA